UGAUUCCAUGGUGUAGUGGAAGCACAUCAGUUUUUGACCCUGAUAGCAUCCGUUCGAUUCGGAUUGGAAUCAA
rnacentral:tRNA from 1 species